CUUCCCGGAAUGACAAUCUGGACACAUGGACACAGUGAUCAGGUUACGAUGGAUUAGAUCAAUAAGAGCCACAUAGCUUGGUCACGUUGUCCAUGUGUUCAGGAAAACUUCAAUCUUUGAA
rnacentral:precursor_RNA from 17 species